GAGUUUGAUCGUGGCUCAGGAUGAACGCUGGCGGCGUGCCUAAUACAUGCAAGUCGAACGAACAGAUAAGGAGCUUGCUCCUUUGACGUUAGCGGCCGGACGGGUGAGGUAACACGUGGGUAACCUACCUAUAAGACUGGAAUAACUCCGGAAACCGGGCUAAUGCCGGAUAACGAUGUUGAACCGCAUGGUUCUACAGUGAAAGACGG
rnacentral:rRNA from 1 species